rnacentral:lncRNA from 10 species
CGAGACACAGAGUACUGAUUGGUGCAUUUAUAAUCCUUUAGCUAGACAAGGAAGUUCUCCAAGUCCCCACUAGAUUAGCUAGACACAGAGCACUGAUUGGUGCGUUUACAAACUUUGAGCUAGACACAGGGUGCUGAUUGGUGCGUUUACAAACCUUGAGAUAGACACAAAGUGCUGAUUGGUGCAUUUACAAACCUUUAGCUAGACAUAAAAGUUCUCCAAGUGCCCACCCCACUCAGGAACCCAGCUGGCUUCCCUAGUGGGUCUGGUGUAGGUCCGCUGGCGGAGCUGCCAGCCGGACACACGCCCCACGCCCGCACUUCUCAGCCCUUCCGCGGUCCAUGGGUCCGGCCGUCGUGGAGCAGGGGGCGGCGCCCGUCGGGGAGGCUCCAGCCGCGCGGGAGCCAACGAUCUCCUCCGGGAGUGGUGGGCAGCUACUGUGAAAGGCCUGGUUCAAAAACCUCACAGCGGUUGUUUUCAGAGUUGUCCCUCCUGUGUACUCUCAAAGCCCCAGAAUGAAGCAAAGCAUCCUCCCUUUUCAAACUGGCACUCUUCCCCAACCUUGAGGACCACUAGGCACUUUGUUUUUAAAGCCACAGUUACUUUUAUGGAGAAGUAUUGUUAUGAAAAAAGGGAGGCAUCUGAGGAGUGGAAACAGAGAAAUGAGUGACUGAGAUCAGUGUCUUAUUUUGACCAUCUUUUCCAAGUGCUGCAUCCUCCCAAACACAACAUGAACUCAACACUUAAUAAAGCUGCAGUCCUACGUGUUUUAUUUGUGUAAGAAACUAAGUCCAAAACAUUCUGCAACGCGAGUAAAAAUUCACUUCUGCAAUAUAUUAAACACACAUGAACACAGUGUUUUCAGUUUGAAGCAAGAUACUGUGGACUCUAAAAUAUCCAGUAACUAUAUUUAGUAUGAAGAGUGGAUGUUUAUAUCUAGUUGGCCAACACAUUGAUUCUAGUCAUCCACUUAGGAAGAAGAGGGUGUGGCAAAUCUGCAGCCUAGGAAAACACAAACUCAGUUUCUUCGUAAUAGAUACUGAUUCGUUUUGUUUACAAAGAUUUUAAAAAACAGUUAUGCAUUCAAAUACUUUAAAAACGAAAAUAACUUUAUGGUUUGAUUUAUUUCCGUUGAAUUUUAAAGAACUUUGUAGCAAGGUUUAAGAUUGCUUAAAGAGCCUGAGUUCGGAUUCCUAAAAUAGUGCAUUGGGAAGGAAGCAUAAAUCUCUAGGAUAUUUUCUUCACAUUAUCUUCAGACAUGACCAAAUGAAGUGUAACUACCCUUACACUCUAAGAGAAUUAAACUAUAAUGACAUAUGUGGCAUGAAACUUUAGUCUUUCUCUGGAAAAAACGGGAGGAGGGAAGGUUUGGAAGAACUAGAGGAUACUAGUUUCAUCAUGAAUUUGGUGAUUUGUUCCAAAGUAAAUUGCAAUAAAAAUGAGGGGUGGGGAAAAAUGAUGGAAAGAUAGCUGUGAAGAGCUUUACUUAAAAUUGUCUUAGCUGUUUAGCUAGGAACUGUAAUUAGAAGGACUGGAGGAUGUAUUCCGCUGGCUUUAUUCUCCAGGCUCUACGGGCCCUCCAAUUUGAAUAAACCUGGAAAACUCUCCUGACCUCUAUUUCUUUGACAAAACAUCUUUCUUUCGUGGUGACUUCCAAGGGAGGAAAUUGGUACCCCAAGCUAGCCGUGAGGACCCCACCACAUGCCCAAGGCAUUGAACGCCAGACUCCCUAAGGACUCAGGGAUUCUAAAAGUCCCCUCUCAAAUCAGCGCCUAAAAUACGCCUGUACAGCCACGCGCUACCGCUCCCAGCAGCGCGGGACUUCGGGACAGGGACAAGGCGGACGCUAGGCGUGCGCCCCCGGGGAGCCCCCACGUUCCGGCCACGCCCACCCUGGCCCUGGGCAGCCGCGCCCGGGAGGCCUGGCACCGAGGCGGGCGGGUCCCCGAGUUAGGGGCCCGCGAGUCGGCUGGGCGCCCCCGCCUCUGCCCGGGCAGUGCCCCGCCGAGUGCUCAGAACUGCGGACAAAUAGGCUGGAGGGCCGGGCCGCGGAAGGCGUUCCCACACCGGCCAGUCUCCGUCCACCAGGAAGCAAACUCCUCGUACCUCCCUGGGGACCGAAAACUGCCGGUGCCGCCGCACCCGUCGCCGCCGCCGCCUGCUCAUGGAGAGCCCGGGCUGCCGCCGCCGCCGCCGCCGCCGCUGCCUCAUCUAUGAGUACCGCCGGCUGUCUCGGCCUCCCCCGGCGUGAGUUCUGGGCUCUGGCAUGGCCUCCAUGGCAGCCGCCGCGGCGGGAGCCACAGCAGCUCCAGCGCCCAGGCCCAAUCUCACUGGACCCACGGAGCCAGGACAGUGGGACACGUCGCUUCUUAUUACGGAGGAAGAUUCGGCACGACCUCCGCCCCCCUCCCCCCAACCCCCCCGUUUUCAGCCGCCUGACAGCGCAGCUGCGCAGGCGCGAAGACGCCCCAGCCUAAUAAUCCUGAUCUGUUACCCAGGCUGGAGUGCAGUGAAUGAUCUCGGCUUAUUGCAACUUCCGCCUCCCAGGAUCAAGAGUUUCUGGUAUCUCAGCUUUCCGAGUAGCUGGGAUUAUAGACGUGCACCACCAUGCCUAGCUAAUUUUUGUAUUUUUAGUAGAGGCAGAGUUUCACCAUGUUGGCCAGGCUGGUCUCAAACUCCUGGCCUCAGGUGAUCUGCCCACCUCGGCCUCCCAAAGUGCUGGGAUUACAGGCGUGAGCCACCACACCUGGCCCUCAUUCUCUUAGCAGUGUAUUUUGA